rfam:Candidatus Nasuia deltocephalinicola str. NAS-ALF, complete genome.
GAAGAGAUUCCUGAGUGGUCAAAAGGAGCAGACUGUAAAUCUGUUGAUAGUACUAUCUUCGUUGGUUCAAAUCCAUCUCUCUUCA